CCGCGGUAAUACAGAGGUGGCAAGCGUUGUUCGGAAUUACUGGGCGUAAAGGGCGCGUAGGCGGCCUUUCAAGUCGGACGUGAAAUCCCCGGGCUUAACUCGGGAAUUGCGUCCGAUACUGGGAGGCUCGAGUUCGGGAGAGGGAUGUGGAAUUCCAGGUGUAGCGGUGAAAUGCGUAGAUAUCUGGAGGAACACCGGUGGCGAAGGCGGCAUCCUGGACCGAAACUGACGCUGAGGCGCGAAAGCCAGGGGAGCAAACGGG
rnacentral:rRNA from 1 species